CCUGAUCAGCCAUGCCGCGUGCAGGAAUAAGGUCCUAUGGAUUGUAAACUGCUUUUAUACCAGAAGAAAUAGUGCUACGUGUAGUAUGUUGACGGUAUCGUAUGAAUAAGCACCGGCUAACUCCAUGCCAGCAGCCGCGG
rnacentral:rRNA from 1 species